rnacentral:rRNA from 1 species
CAGUCGAACGGACUUGAGAGGGCUUGCUCUCUUAAGUUAGUGGCGGACGGGUGAGUAACACGUGAGCAACCUGCCUUUAAGAGUGGGAUAACGGUCGGAAACGACCGCUAAUACCGCAUAACAUACACGAACCGCAUGGUUUGUGUAUCAAAGAUUUAUCGCUUAAAGAUGGGCUCGCGUCUGAUUAGCUUGUUGGUGAGGUAACGGCUCACCAAGGCGACGAUCAGUAGCCGUACUGAGAGGUAGAACGGCCACAUUGGGACUGAGACACGGCCCAGACUCCUACGGGAGGCAGCAGUGGGGAAUAUUGCACAAUGGAGGAAACUCUGAUGCAGCGAUGCCGCGUGAGGGAAGAAGGUUUUCGGAUUGUAAACCUCUGUCCUUGGUGACUAUAAUGACGGUAGCCAAGGAGGAAGCCACGGCUAACUACGUGCCAGCAGCCGCGGUAAUACGUAGGUGGCGAGCGUUGUCCGGAAUUACUGGGUGUAAAGGGAGCGUAGGCGGGAGAGCAAGUCGACUGUGAAAUCUAUGGGCUUAACCCAUAGCUGCGAUCGAAACUGUUCAUCUUGAGUGAAGUAGAGGCAGGCGGAAUUCCUAGUGUAGCGGUGAAAUGCGUAAAUAUUAGGAGGAACACCAGUGGCGAAGGCGGCCUGCUGGGCUUUAACUGACGCUGAGGCUCGAAAGCGUGGGUAGCAAACAGGAUUAGAUACCCUGGU